GAUGAACGCUGGCGGCGUGCCUAAUACAUGCAAGUCGAGCGAACAGACGAGGAGCUUGCUCCUCUGACGUUAGCGGCGGACGGGUGAGUAACACGUGGAUAACCUACCUAUAAGACUGGGAUAACUUCGGGAAACCGGAGCUAAUACCGGAUAAUAUAUUGAACCGCAUGGUUCAAUAGUGAAAGACGGUUUUGCUGUCACUUAUAGAUGGAUCCGCGCCGCAUUAGCUAGUUGGUAAGGUAACGGCGUACCAAGGCGACGAUGCGUAGCCGACCUGAGAGGGUGGUCGGCCACACUGGAACUGAGACACGGUCCAGACUCCUACGGGAGGAAGCAGUAGGGAAUCUUCCGCAAUGGGCGAAAGCCUGACGGAGCAACGCCGCGUGAGUGAUGAAGGUCUUCGGAUCGUAAAACUCUGUUAUUAGGGAAGAACAAAUGUGUAAGUAACUAUGCACGUCUUGACGGUACCUAAUCAGAAAGCCACGGCUAACUACGUG
rnacentral:rRNA from 1 species